rnacentral:rRNA from 1 species
GACGUAGGGCGCGAGCGUUGUCCGGAUUUAUUGGGCGUAAAGAGCUCGUAGGCGGCUUGUCGCGUCGACUGUGAAAACCCGAGGCUCAACCUCGGGCCUGCAGUGGGUACGGGCAGACUAGAGUGCGGGUAGGGGAGAAUGGAAUUCCUGGUGUAGCGGUGGAAUGCGCAGAUAUCAGGAGGAACACCGAUGGCGAAGGCAAUCCCCUGGGCCUGCACUGACGCUCAUGCACGAAAGCGUGGGGAGCAAACAGG